UACGUAGGUGGCGAGCGUUAUCCGGAAUGAUUGGGCGUAAAGGGUGCGUAGGCGGCCUGCUAAGUCUGGAGUGAAAGGUACCGGCUCAACCGGUACAGGCUCUGGAAACUGGCGGGCUAGAGAGCAGGAGAGGGCGGUGGAACUCCAUGUGUAGCGGUAAAAUGCGUAGAUAUAUGGAAGAACACCAGUGGCGAAAGCGGCUCUCUGGUCUGUAACUGACGCUGAGGUUCGAAAGCGUGGGUAGCAAAUAGG
rnacentral:rRNA from 1 species